GUUGUAGCCCUGCAUGCUUUCUGGGGAGCACACUCUAGCCACCGAGAUGAAGGCACGGGGAGGCCCGACCGUAGGUCGAACACGUCAGUCAGUGGCUGAUCCUUCCCAUGGUCUCUGGAUACACCAGUGAAGGCAGGAGGUGAAGUCUCCCAGAUCACCUGGGAACAGCCAUGGACACUUGUCUGGGGCUGCAUGAGGCAGUGUCUGAGACUCACCUUUGACACAAAUGUAACUGAAGGGGAGAAGCUGCCCCUGGGCAAGCCGGUCAGCUGAAAUCUGCAGCUUCACUUCUGAGGCCUGCGAGACAACGAACCCAGCGGGAGGAAUGAACAACUCCAGACGCGCCGCCUUAAGAGCUGUAACACUCACCGCGAAGGUCCGCAGCUUCACUCCUGAAGCCAGCGAGACCACGAACCCACCAGAAGGAAGAAACUCUGAACACGUCCAAACAUCAGAAGGAACAAACUCCGGACACACCAUCUUUAAGAACUUGUAACACUCACCGCGCGGGUCCGCGGCUUCAUUCUCGAAGUCAGAGAGACCAAGAACCCACCAAUUCUGGACACAACACUGGUCAGCUUGAGUUCAGACUUCCCUGCUUGGCACACAAGGCCUUUCCCCAGCUUGCUGUGAUCCACUUGUCUGCCUUUAUCCCCAACUAUGCUCUCCCCUACACCCAGGAUCCCAUAAUCACUUGCUCUUCCCGGAGACUGGAGGUACUUCAUGCCUGUACUCCUAGAAAGCCUUCCCCACACUCUCAACCUAGCAAACCUUCCCUUGCUCUUCAAAAUCCACCUUGAAGGUCCCCUCUCCUCCAGCACCUUCUCUAAACGUUCUCAUCUUCAGGCAGAUGAAUUCUUACCCCAGGCUCCACUGGCAUUUCCUGAGAGCCCGGAGGUACAU
rnacentral:lncRNA from 1 species